UGGGGCGUCGCCAAGCGGUAAGGCACCGGUCUUUGGAAUCGGCAUGCGUUGGUUCGAAUCCAGCCGCCCCAGCCA
rnacentral:tRNA from 1 species